UAAGGAAUAUUGGUCAAUGGACGCAAGUCUGAACCAGCCAUGCCGCGUGAAGGAUGAAGGUCCUCUGGAUUGUAAACAUCUUUUAUCUGGGACGAAAACGGGAUUUUUAUCUCAAUUGACGGUACCAGAGGAGUAAGCACCGGCUAACUCCGUGCCAGCAGCCGCGGUAAUACGGAGGGUGCGAGCGUUAUCCGGAUUUACUGGGUUUAAAGGGUGCGUAGGUGGGCUUAUAAGUCAGUGGUGAAAUCUCCGAGCUUAACUUGGAAACGGCCGUUGAUACUAUAGGUCUUGAAUUAUCUGGAGGUAAGCGGAAUAUGUCAUGUAGCGGUGAAAUGCUUAGAUAUGACAUAGAACACCAAUUGCGAAGGCAGCUUACUACAUAUAAAUUGACGCUGAGGCACGAAAGCGUGGGGAUC
rnacentral:rRNA from 1 species